rfam:Veillonella montpellierensis DNF00314 contig39, whole genome shotgun sequence.
AUUAACUACCGCAUAGGUAGCUUAGAAA